GCCUGGCUAGCUCAGUUGGCAGAGCAUCAGCCUUCUAAUUUGAAGAGCCAGGGUUCAAGUCCCUGGUGAGGCA